AAAAACCUAAAAAGUUAUGCACAUUACCUACGGGAUUCGUGAAUAAUUGACUACAUAGUUCAAUGUGCACUUUUUGUUGAUGGAUGGAAACAUCUAGGGCCACCUAGGACCGGUUGUUUUAACUUCUUGGUAAACUUACCUACCAAGUAAGUUUACCAAGAAGUUGGAACAACCGACCCCUAAAACGACGGGAUGACCACUCUCAGGUUCCUCUCUGGUAUUUCACAAAUUUAUACGACGAAACUUGACAAUCGAAGAAGAGAUCGAAUCAUUAAGCGAUGAUGUCCCGAAUUUACAACCAAUGUGUAAUAAGGGUAAUUUCAAGAUGAAUCCUGUGACUGAGAUGGUUCAAUUCUCGCAGUUAUUGUAAUACAAAACUGACCUCGAUAUAACUGAAUGGUUGAUGAUGACAACUGAAAAGCAGAACGAUACUCUGCAAGGACUCUGUUCUAAAAUCGCGUUUGUUUUGCAAAAGCAUUAUGCCUCUUGGACCUUGGCAAUAGCUGCAUCAUUUUAUUGACGCAUGGUGGGCAAUACUCGCAAAGCACUAGAUUGUUGUGGCAGAGUUUAGAUAACACUCUGAAGGAUAUGCAAGGGUGACUUCAAGACUGCUACAAGUUUCUAUAGAUCUUCGUUUAAGCUUGACUUAAAUUUUGAGCCUGCUGUUACAAGGUUGCCAGUAAUACUAUGUUUUUUAUUAUUUGAUGAUAAAAAAUUCGCAAUGAAUGAGAUAUUACGAAAUAUUUUAUAAUACGACUUUUUAUAAACUGUUAAUGCGAAAUAAUUCGAUGAAAGUACCUUUUUAUAUUGUUAAUACAUAAUAUUAAAAAAAUGUACGUAAGUAUUAAAAACAAGGAAGAAGCAAUUAUGCAGCAAUUACAUGAUACUACGUUAUUAUGUGUAUUACAAUAAAUUUUAAAUGAAGGGAAAAAAUAGUAAUGACAGAUACUUAAUUGUUAAAUUAUUACAAAAUUUUAUAGUCGGAUAAGAUACUUGUAUUUUCACAUCAAAUUUUUAAGUUUAAUAUUUCAGAAUACAGAACAGAUAAAAAAUGAGCACAUUUUUAAAUGUAUUGUUUAUCUGUUAUUGUAAAUAUUGUUUAUCUCAUAUGAAUGUGAUAACUUCUUGUUGUACUUGUGUACAUGUGUUUACUCAUGAAGCAAUAUAUUAUUAAAAUGUAAAAAGUAUUAAAUAAAAAAUAAAUUUUGCAAUGAA